UAUGAAGCAAGUACACAAGGUAGGGCAGCAGAGGAUGUACAGGACAUAUAAAAAGCCAGAUGUUGUGGUUCUCUUGAAAAAUUGUGUACUCCUAAAUGAAGCAACUUCAAAGUUCAUCAAAACAAAUUAAAAAAGCUCCUCUGAAUUGAACUUGUUCCUGGCCUCCUAUUAUACACAUAAAAAGAAUGUGGUAUGUGGUAAUAUACCACGUACAAACCUUUCUUUUAUACUUUAAUUUAUUAAAGCUACAUCUCUAAUUUGUUUAUUUCAUAAGCUUUAGAACGUCACUAGGGUAAUGUUAAUUUAAAUGUUAAACCGGUUCACGAACUUGAUAUUUUUUUUUCAGGGUUUCCGCACGCGUAGCGCGGGAUAUUAUGAUCUAUAUGGUUAAAUGUAAUUCUGUAAUUAAAAAAUGCUAUGAUUAAGAGAUUACAUAUGCCUUGACGGGUGAUCAUUAAAAAAAAUGAAUUAUUGCAUAAAAUAAAGAAACUGAAUAAAAGUGUGGGGUAUAUAAGUUAAAAAUUUGUUGAAAAAGGAAAAAGAGGCUUUAGCUUGGAAUACCAAUGCUUGCUUACCAACGUGAAACGGGUCCAAAAAAGUAGAAAAAACAUAAGUUGCAACAAAACGGAGGUUAAAAAAUUUAUGAAUCUUAUCACACCGUACUUUUAUUAUAAUAAAAUGUCAUAAUGGAAUAAUUGUAAGAUAUCGAAAAACAUUCCUUCAUUAUAUGUUAAAAUGAUUUGUAUUUGAUAUAAUUGUUGACCAUUCAAUGCUAGGACGAAAAAUUUAUGAUUUCUUACUGCAUGUGAAAUGUGAAUAUUAUAUAUGUAUGUAUUUAUAUGCAUAAUAUAACAAAAUUAGUAUGUCCAAUAUUUAUAUAUAAUAAACUCUAAAGUGAAUAUAAUUUAUAUUAUAAAUGUUAAAAUUUUCAAGUGUUCAUCUGAAUAAAAUUUAAAUGGUAAUUAAUUAAAAUUUUAUUUUUAUUUACAUUAAACUGCAUAUAUUUGAUAAAAGUUAUACAUAAAUUUAAAACAAUAGAGGAUGGUAAAUUGAAAAAAAGGUUAAACUUAUAGAAAAUUACUAUGUCCACUAUGAAUGCAAAAUUCAAUUAUUUCAGAACAUUAACCGAAAAUUGUGAAAUAUGAUGAUAUCAUUAAUCAUAUUAGAUACACUAACAUAUAUAAUUUCAAAUAAAUAUUUGAAUUCAAAUAAGACAUUUAUAAUUUCAAAUAGAGGAGAUGGUAAAAUAUCGUGGCUCAAGUAGUUUAGUCCCUACUUACACAAUACUUGAACAAUCUUGACUAUGUUACACGCACACGUGCAAUUAUGCUUGAUGGUUAAACGUGAAGGGCCUUUAGACAAUUCACUCCACUUUGUGUGAAAUAAGGUUCACAUUUGCCUAUUGGGUAACCCUCAUUAAAUUUUGUUUUAGAGGUCCGAUAGCAACUUGUUGUACUGAAUGCAUGCAUAGAGUUUUGUCCUGAACCUAAAGUAGAACUUGGCUGUAGCAAAUUCAUCACACUCUUCUGUGCAUUGAAAGCCCGGAGAGAGGAGAAGAUGUACUGUGCUGCGUUGAGUUAUUUGAUACCGUGGUUGCGACUGCAGCAUGGAGUGCACGUGACCCUCACUUGCACCUGUGCAUCCUAGUUCUUGGCAUCUGAAAAAAGAAGACUGACUUAAGAAAUAAACUU
rnacentral:lncRNA from 1 species